rnacentral:rRNA from 1 species
UUAAAUUUGAAGAACAGAAGACCCUUACUUACUUUUGACAUCCUGAGAACUUUUGGGAGAUUAUUGUGCCUUCGGGAGCGAAGAGCCAGGUGCUGCAUGGCUGUCGUCAGCUCGUGUUGUGAAAUGUUGGGUUAAGUCCCGUAACGAGCGCAACCCUUGUCCUUUUUUGCCAGCGGGUAAUGCCGGGAACUUUAAGGAGACUGCCGGUGACAAACCGGAGGAAGGUGGGGACGACGUCAAGUCAUCAUGGCCCUUACGAGUAGGGCUACACACGUGCUACAAUGGCCGGUACAAAGGGUUGCGAGCUCGCGAGAGUCAGCUAAUCCCGAAAAGCCGGUCUCAGUCCGGAUCGGAGUCUGCAACUCGACUCCGUGAAGUCGGAAUCGCUAGUAAUCGUGAAUCAGAAUGUCACGGUGAAUACGUUCCCGGGCCUUGUACACACCGCCCGU